CACGCNGUAAACGCUGAGUGCUAGGUGUUAGGUCCUNUCCGGGACUUAGUGCCGACGCUAACGCAUUAAGCACUCCGCCUGGGGAGUACGACCGCAAGGUUGAAACUCAAAGGAAUUGACGGGGGCCCGCACAAGCGGUGGAGCAUGUGGUUUAAUUCGAAGCAACGCGAAGAACCUUACCAGGUCUUGACAUCCCGAUGCCCGCUCUAGAGAUAGAGUUUUACUUUUUGUACAUCGGAGACAGGUGGUGCAUGGUUGUCGUCAGCUCGUGUCGUGAGAUGUUGGGUUAANNNNNNNNNNCGAGCGCAACCCUUAUUGUUAGUUGCCAUCAUUAAGUUGGGCACUCUAGCGAGACUGCCGGUAAUAAACCGGAGGAAGGUGGGGAUGACGUCAAAUCAUCAUGCCCCUUAUGACCUGGGCUACACACGUGCUACAAUGGUUGGUACAACGAGUCGCAAGCCGGUGACGGCAAGCUAAUCUCUGAAAGCCAAUCUCAGUUCGGAUUGUAGGCUGCAACUCGCCUACAUGAAGUCGGAAUCGCUAGUAAUCGCGGAUCAGCACGCCGCGGUGAAUACGUUCCCGGGCCUUG
rnacentral:rRNA from 1 species